rnacentral:rRNA from 1 species
GAUGAACGCUGGCGGCGUGCCUAAUACAUGCAAGUCGAGCGAACAGACGAGAGUGCUUGCACUCUCUGACGUUAGCGGCGGACGGGUGAGUAACACGUGGGUAACCUACCUAUAAGACUGGGAUAACUUCGGGAAACCGGAGCUAAUACCGGAUAAUAUUUAGCUUCGCAUGAAGCAAUAGUGAAAGACGGUUCUGCUGUCACUUAUAGAUGGACCCGCGGUGUAUUAGCUAGUUGGUGAGGGAACGGCUCACCAAGGCAACGAUACAUAGCCGACCUGAGAGGGUGAUCGGCCACCCUGGGACUGAGACACGGCCCAGACUCCUACGGGAGGCCGCAGUAGGGACUCUUCCGCAAUGGACGAAAGUCUGACGGAGCAAUGCCGCGUGAGUGAAGAAGGUUUUCGGAUCGUAAAACUCUGUUGUAAGGGAAGAACAAGUACGUUAGUAACUGAACGUACCUUGACGGUACCUUACCAGAAAGCCACGGCUAACUACGUG